rnacentral:rRNA from 1 species
CUACGGGAGGCAGCAGUGGGGAAUCUUGCACAAUGGAGGAAACUCUGAUGCAGCGAUGCCGCGUGAGUGAAGAAGGCCCUUGGGUUGUAAAGCUCUUUCGUCGGGGAAGAAAAUGACUGUACCCGAAUAAGAAGGUCCGGCUAACUUCGUGCCAGCAGCCGCGGUAAUACGAAGGGACCUAGCGUAGUUCGGAAUUACUGGGCUUAAAGAGUUCGUAGGUGGUUGAAAAAGUUAGUGGUGAAAUCCCAGAGCUUAACUCUGGAACUGCCAUUAAAACUUUUCAGCUAGAGUAUGAUAGAGGAAAGUGGAAUUUCUAGUGUAGAGGUGAAAUUCGUAGAUAUUAGAAAGAACAUCAAAAGCGAAGGCAACUUUCUGGAUCAUUACUGACACUGAGGAACGAAAGCAUGGGUAGCGAAGAGGAUUAGAUACCCUUGUAGUCCAUGCCGUAAACGAUGUGUGCUAGACGUUGGAAACUUAGUUUUCAGUGUCGCAGCGAAAGCAUUAAGCACACCGCCUGGGGAGUACGACCGCAAGGUUAAAACUCAAAU